rnacentral:rRNA from 1 species
CGCUGGCGGCAGGCCUAACACAUGCAAGUCGAACGGUAACAGGAAGCAGCUUGCUGCUUCGCUGACGAGUGGCGGACGGGUGAGUAAUGUCUGGGAAACUGCCUGAUGGAGGGGGAUAACUACUGGAAACGGUAGCUAAUACCGCAUAACGUCGCAAGACCAAAGGGGGGGGACCUUCGGGCCUCUUGCCAUCGGAUGUGCCCAGAUGGGAUUAGCUUGUUGGUGGGGUAACGGCUCACCAAGGCGACGAUCCCUAGCUGGUCUGAGAGGAUGACCAGCCACACUGGAACUGAGACACGGUCCAGACUCCUACGGGAGGCAGCAGUGGGGAAUAUUGCACAAUGGGCGCAAACCUGAUGCAGCCAUGCCGCGUGUAUGAGGAAGGCCUUCGGGUUGUAAAGUACUUUCAGCGGGGAGGAAGGGAGUAAAGUUAAUACCUUUGCUCAUUGACGUUACCCGCAGAAGAAGCACCGGCUAACUCCGUGCCAGCAGCCGCGGUAAUACGGAGGGUGCAAGCGUUAAUCGGAAUUACUGGGCGUAAAGCGCACGCAGGCGGUUUGUUAAGUCAGAUGUGAAAUCCCCGGGCUCAACCUGGGAACUGCAUCUGAUACUGGCAAGCUUGAGUCUCGUAGAGGGGGGUAGAAUUCCAGGUGUAGCGGUGAAAUGCGUAGAGAUCUGGAGGAAUACCGGUGGCG